rnacentral:rRNA from 1 species
UACGAAGGGGGCUAGCGUUGUUCGGAUUUACUGGGCGUAAAGCGCACGUAGGCGGAUCGUUAAGUCGGGGGUGAAAUCCUGGAGCUCAACUCCAGAACUGCCCUCGAUACUGGCGAUCUCGAGUCCGGAAGAGGUGAGUGGAACUCCUAGUGUAGAGGUGGAAUUCGUAGAUAUUAGGAAGAACACCAGUGGCGAAGGCGGCUCACUGGUCCGGUACUGACGCUGAGGUGCGAAAGCGUGGGGAGCGAACAGG